rnacentral:rRNA from 1 species
UCGGACUGGAGUCUGCAACCCGACUCCACGAAGUUGGAUUCGCUAGUAAUCGCGCAUCAGCCAUGGCGCGGUGAAUACGUUCCCGGGCCUUGUACACACCGCCCGUCAAGCCAUGGGAGCCGGGGGCGCCUGAAGUCCGGGACCGCGAGGACCGGCCUAGGGCGAAACUGGUGACUGGGGCUAAGUCGUAACAAGGUAGC